rnacentral:rRNA from 1 species
UUAAGCGACUAAGCGUACACGGUGGAUGCCCUGGCAGUCAGAGGCGAUGAAGGACGUGCUAAUCUGCGAAAAGCGCCGGCGAGGUGAUAUGAACCCUUGACCCGGCGAUGUCCGAAUGGGGAAACCCAGUGUGAUUCGUCACACUAUCGUUAACUGAAUACAUAGGUUAACGAGGCGAACCGGGGGAACUGAAACAUCUAAGUACCCCGAGGAAAAGAAAUCAACCGAGAUUCCCCCAGUAGCGGCGAGCGAACGGGGAGCAGCCCGGAGUCUGAAUCAGCUUGUGUGUUAGUGGAACGGUCUGGAAAGUCCGACGGUACAGGGUGAUAGUCCCGUACACGAAAGCACACUUGCUGUGAACUCGAAGAGUAGGGCGGGACACGUGGUAUCCUGUCUGAAUAUGGGGGGACCAUCCUCCAAGGCUAAAUACUCCUGACUGACCGAUAGUGAACCAGUACCGUGAGGGAAAGGCGAAAAGAACCCCGGCGAGGGGAGUGAAAAAGAACCUGAAACCGUGUACGUACAAGCAGUGGGAGCACCUUCGUGGUGUGACUGCGUACCUUUUGUAUAAUGGGUCAGCGACUUAUAUUCUGUAGCAAGGUUAACCGUAUAGGGGAGCCGAAGGGAAACCGAGUCUUAACUGGGCGUUAAGUUGCAGGGUAUAGACCCGAAACCCGGUGAUCUAGCCAUGGGCAGGUUGAAGGUUGGGUAACACUAACUGGAGGACCGAACCGACUAAUGUUGAAAAAUUAGCGGAUGACCUGUGGCUGGGGGUGAAAGGCCAAUCAAACCGGGAGAUAGCUGGUUCUCCCCGAAAGCUAUUUAGGUAGCGCCUCGUGAACUCAUCUUCGGGGGUAGAGCACUGUUUCGGCUAGGGGGCCAUCCCGGCUUACCAACCCGAUGCAAACUACGAAUACCGAAGAAUGUUAUCACGGGAGACACACGGCGGGUGCUAACGUCCGUCGUGAAGAGGGAAACAACCCAGACCGCCAGCUAAGGUCCCAAAGUCAUGGUUAAGUGGGAAACGAUGUGGGAAGGCACAGACAGCCAGGAUGUUGGCUUAGAAGCAGCCAUCAUUUAAAGAAAGCGUAAUAGCUCACUGGUCGAGUCGGCCUGCGCGGAAGAUGUAACGGGGCUAAACCAUGCACCGAAGCUGCGGCAGCGACACUAUGUGUUGUUGGGUAGGGGAGCGUUCUGUAAGCCGUUGAAGGUGUGCUGUGAGGCAUGCUGGAGGUAUCAGAAGUGCGAAUGCUGACAUAAGUAACGAUAAAGCGGGUGAAAAGCCCGCUCGCCGGAAGACCAAGGGUUCCUGUCCAACGUUAAUCGGGGCAGGGUGAGUCGACCCCUAAGGCGAGGCCGAAAGGCGUAGUCGAUGGGAAACAGGUUAAUAUUCCUGUACUUGGUGUUACUGCGAAGGGGGGACGGAGAAGGCUAUGUCAGCCGGGCGACGGUUGUCCCGGUUUAAGCAUGUAGGCGGAGGUUCCAGGUAAAUCCGGUACCUUAUUAACGCUGAGGUGUGAUGACGAGGCACUACGGUGCUGAAGUGAUAAAUGCCCUGCUUCCAGGAAAAGCCUCUAAGCAUCAGGUAACACGAAAUCGUACCCCAAACCGACACAGGUGGUCAGGUAGAGAAUACCAAGGCGCUUGAGAGAACUCGGGUGAAGGAACUAGGCAAAAUGGUGCCGUAACUUCGGGAGAAGGCACGCUGAUGUGUAGGUGAAGUCCCUGCGGACGGAGCUGAAAUCAGUCGAAGAUACCAGCUGGCUGCAACUGUUUAUUAAAAACACAGCACUGUGCAAACACGAAAGUGGACGUAUACGGUGUGACGCCUGCCCGGUGCCGGAAGGUUAAUUGAUGGGGUUAGCUGUAAGGCGAAGCUCUUGAUCGAAGCCCCGGUAAACGGCGGCCGUAACUAUAACGGUCCUAAGGUAGCGAAAUUCCUUGUCGGGU